rnacentral:rRNA from 1 species
UGGGGAAUAUUGCGCAAUGGAGGAAACUCUGACGCAGCGACGCCGCGUGGGUGAUGAAGGCCUUCGGGUUGUAAAGCUCUGUCGGCUGGGAAAAAGGGUGUCGUGCUAAUACCACGAUGCUUUGAUGGUACCAGCAAAGGAAGCACCGGCUAACCCUGUGCCAGCAGCCGCGGUAAUACAGGGGGUGCGAGCGUUGUUCGGAAUUACUGGGCGUAAAGGGCGCGUAGGCGGUUUAGCAAGUCAGAUGUGAAAGCCCGGGGCUUAACUCCGGAAUUGCAUUUGAAACUGCUAGGCUAGAGUGCAGUAGAGGAUGGCGGAAUACCUAGUGGAGAGGUGAAAUUCGUAGAUAUUAGGUGGAACACCGGUGGCGAAGGCGGCCAUCUGGGCUGUAACUGACGCUGAGGCGCGAGAGCGUGGGGAGCAAACAG